AGAACGAACGCUGGCGGCAUGCCUAAUACAUGCAAGUCGAACGAACACUUCGGUGUUAGUGGCGCACGGGUGCGUAACGCGUGGGAAUCUGCCCUUGGGUUCGGAAUAACAGUUGGAAACGACUGCUAAUACCGGAUGAUAUCGAAAGAUCAAAGAUUUAUCGCCCAGGGAUGAGCCCGCGUAGGAUUAGCUAGUUGGUGAGGUAAAGGCUCACCAAGGCGACGAUCCUUAGCUGGUCUGAGAGGAUGAUCAGCCACACUGGGACUGAGACACGGCCCAGACUCCUACGGGAGGCAGCAGUAGGGAAUAUUGGACAAUGGGCGCAAGCCUGAUCCAGCAAUGCCGCGUGAGUGAUGAAGGCCUUAGGGUUGUAAAGCUCCUUACCCGAGAUGAUAAUGACAGUAUCGGAGAAUAAGCCCCGGCUAACUCCGUGCCAGCAGCCGC
rnacentral:rRNA from 1 species